rnacentral:lncRNA from 1 species
AUGUUCUAGCCGCUGAGAAAUGGUCCUUAAAAUCCUCCUCAUUGUGACUCCAUAAAAUAACAUCACUUCCCCUCCUAGCGUAUGGUUUCUGAGCAUUUUCAAUGGCAGUAUACACAUCACCAAACACUCUCCUCCCUCGCCCACGCAUACCCCAAGCCUCAUUUGGACACGCUUCAGCUACACGAGCUUGUCUAGGAAUACCCAAGUACCGCAGUCCCAGAUCUCUUGUUGUGUCAAUAAUACUUCCAGUGCCUAACCAGUUGUCAAACCAGAAGAAAGUCGAGUCACCACUUCUAACUUCACAGCGCAUGAAACUUGAUGCCUCCGGUCUGAGCUGAAGCAAUUUGCGCCAGAGCCAUUAUCCCCUAUUAGUGUCCUUUGCGUUCCAAAAGGAACCACCUCGUAG